rnacentral:tRNA from 1 species
GCCUUCUUAGCUCAAUUGGCAGAGCACACGGUUUACAUCCGUGGGGUUAUAGGUUCAAGUCCUAUAGGAGGCA